rnacentral:rRNA from 1 species
AUUGAACGCUGGCGGCAGGCCUAACACAUGCAAGUCGAACGGUAACAGGAAGCAGCUUGCUGCUUUGCUGACGAGUGGCGGACGGGUGAGUAAUGUCCGGGAAACUGCCUGAUGGAGGGGGAUAACUACUGGAAACGGUAGCUAAUACCGCAUAACGUCGCAAGACCAAAGAGGGGGACCUUCGGGCCUCUUGCCAUCGGAUGUGCCCAGAUGGGAUUAGCUAGUAGGUGGGGUAACGGCUCACCUAGGCGACGAUCCCUAGCUGGUCUGAGAGGAUGACCAGCCACACUGGAACUGAGACACGGUCCAGACUCCUACGGGAGGCAGCAGUGGGGAAUAUUGCACAAUGGGCGCAAGCCUGAUGCAGCCAUGCCGCGUGUAUGAAGAAGGCCUUCGGGUUGUAAAGUACUUUCAGCGGGGAGGAAGAGAGUAAAGUUAAUACCUUUGCUCAUUGACGUUACCCGCAGAAGAAGCACCGGCUAACUUCGUG